rnacentral:lncRNA from 1 species
UGCCAAUGGGGCCCGAGUCUGAUACAGUGUUGGUCUGUUAUUGUUUGAUCUAAUUUUCAGUAUUAAAUGCAGCAUGGUGUUUGAUGUAAUUAUGUUAUGGUCUCGUAUGCAUGAACUAUGGUUUCUUUUAUUAUGGUUUGUAUUAUGGUGAACCCAGUACUGUAUUGUCUUAUUUGGUGUCAAUUACUGGUUUACAUAUUGUGUAUGAUUGGAUGACCGAGAUUAAGAAAAAAGGCAAAAAGGUUAUGUGAAUUGAUAAGUGGAAAAUGUGGACAGCCUGACUAGAUAUCCUGGGAGAUGGUGGACGGACCGGGUCCG